rnacentral:rRNA from 1 species
CCAGACUCCUACGGGAGGCAGCAGUGGGGAAUAUUGGGCAAUGGGCGCAAGCCUGACCCAGCAACGCCGCGUGAAGGAAGAAGGCUUUCGGGUUGUAAACUUCUUUUCUCAGGGACGAAGAAAGUGACGGUACCUGAGGAAUAAGCCACGACUAACUACGUGCCAGCAGCCGCGGUAAUACGUAGGUGGCAAGCGUUAUCCGGAUUUACUGGGUGUAAAGGGCGUGUAGGCGGGACUGCAAGUCAGAUGUGAAAACCAUGGGCUCAACCUGUGGCCUGCAUUUGAAACUGUAGUUCUUGAGUACUGGAGAGGCAGACGGAAUUCCUAGUGUAGCGGUGAAAUGCGUAGAUAUUAGAAGGAACGCCAGUGGCGAAGGCGGCCUGCUGGACAGCAACUGACGCUGAGGCGCGAAAGCGUGGGGAGCAAACAGGAUUAGAUACCCGAGUAC